rnacentral:rRNA from 1 species
UACGUAGGGUGCGAGCGUUAAUCGGAAUUACUGGGCGUAAAGCGUGCGCAGGCGGUAAGUUAAGUCUGAUGUGAAAGCCCCGGGCUCAACCUGGGAAUGGCAUUGGAAACUGGCUUGCUAGAGUGUGGCAGAGGGGGGGUGGAAUUCCGCGUGUAGCAGUGAAAAUGCGUAGAGAUGCGGAGGAACACCGAUGGCGAAGGCAGCCCCCCUGGGCUGACACUGACGCUCAGGCACGAAAGCGUGGGGGAGCAAACAGG